GACGAACGCUGGCGGCGUGCCUAAUACAUGCAAGUAGGACGCAGUUGCGAACGGGUGAGUAACGCGUAGGUAACUGCCUAUUAGAGGGGGAUAACUAUUGGAAACGAUAGCUAAUACCGCAUACUAGUAGAUGGACCUGCGUUGUAUUAGCUAGUAGGUAGGGUAAUGGCCUACCUAGGCGACGAUACAUAGCCGACCUGAGAGGGGGGUCGGCCACACUGGGAACGAGACACGGCCCAGACCCCUACGGGAGGCAGCAGUAGGGAAUCUUCGGCAAAGGGGGGAAACCUGACCGAGCAAAGCCGCGGGAGUGAAGAAGGGUUUCGGAUCGGAAAGAUUUGUUGUUAAGGAAGCGGUACUUAACCAGAAAGGGACGGCUAACUACGUGCCAGCAGCCGCGGUAAUAC
rnacentral:rRNA from 1 species